ensembl:lncRNA
GGGUCAAGGUUCUCUCAAUGGCCAGGAUUACCUUACCUUGAAGGUAAAUACCCUGUCUCUUUCACUGGCAGCCUCAGCCCCAGGCAUCACAUGACAGACUGAACUUGGUUCCUUCCUCCUGCCUGCUUCCAGGCAGUGAGCAGGAGGCAGCUAGAAAGUUCCACGAUUUUGCUUUAAUUUCUAAUUUCCCUGCUUCCUGGGUGAAUAGGUCAGAUCGGCCACGGUGGUUUUUAUUUUUUUAAUUUUUUAAAAAAAUUUCUUGGCUGCAUUUGUGACAUUCAGAAAUUCCUAGGUCAGGGAUCAAACCUGAGCCACAGCAGUAACAAUGUCAAGUUCUUAAUCACUAGACCACCAGGGAACUCCCACCAUGACAGUUUUUAAUUUAGAAGUCGGGGAGAGGGAGGAGGCCCUGCCACUUUCUCCUGUUUUUCUAAGAAGCCUAAUACUUGUCAUAACAAUUAAUAAACCUAAUUCUUUGGUCUCUCUUUGGACUUAAUACUUCAGAUCUUUUCUUUAUCCUUUCCGAUAGUGAUGGAAAGGAGGAGUGACUCUGAAUUUAAAGCCCAUUAAUCUCGAAUUUAAGAUAUAGUGCUCAAAAUGAGUAUAGUACUUCAUGUGCAACAACUUUUUUGUUUGUUUCAGGUUCAGUACUUCUUUCAUCCAGUUUAUGAGCAUAUUAAUUAUUUUACUGUCUUCAUUCUAGGUUCCUAGUUUUCUAGUGAUGACUAAAUCCUUGACAAAGAACUCAUUUCUCCCCAUGAUUCGGCAUUGGUUGCUUCUACCAAAGUCCAAAGGUUUGAUCAUCUCUGUACCUGCCAUUCACUUCUUAACUCACUGCUUUGAGCCUACUGUCCCCCUAUACUCUAGUGUAACUGCUAUCAUUAAGGGUACUGACGAUUUUCUGCUGAACAAUGAUCUUCAUCCCUGGCCCUCUGCCUUGUCACCAUUUACUUAUGCUGGGUGACUGCCUUCAAACCACUUAUGUAUUGAUGAUUCUCAAAUCCACGCCCACAGCCCAGAUCUCUUUCCUAAGCUCCAUAUUCAUGGAACGAGUUGCCUGUAAGCUAGCUCUACCUGAAUAUCCUACCUGCAUUUCAAACCAAUGCACCCCAAGUCAAAUUCACUGGUUUGGGAUAAGAUUCUAAUUUUAAUCCAGCAGUGACUAUUUUAGACUCUAACCGCUAUUCACAUCAUUUCCCAAGCCAGAAACUGAGUCCAAGCCAGAAACUGAGUCCCAGUCUUAAUUCCUCUCUUUUUCUUUCAUUACUGUCAAUUUAUCCUAUUAAUCCUACAUCCUAAAUAUUUUUUCCAUCCUUCCCUUGCUCUUUGGUGUCACUGUCACUACCUUAUGGUCCCCUUUCUUGUUGGUACUGCUUCAGUACUGUUCUCUCUGCCUCCAGUCAUACCCUCCCUCCACACUGUUGCUGGAGUAACUUCCUAAAAAGACAAAUCAUCUUAUGUCAUGACCGUGCUUUUAAAAUCCUUGAAUAAGCUCCCGUAUUCUUCAGAAUGAGGAUCAGACAUUUCUGGUUUAACACAGACUGCCCCUUCAGGGUUUGUUUCCUGACCAUGCUUUAGCCUCAUUUCCUGUCACCCUCCCUACCCAUGGCAUCCUCAUUCCUACCAUUCUUAAUAACAACAUGCAAAUUCCUCACUGCAUUAGACUGCUCUCGCUGCAAUGCUGUUUCCACACACUUCUCCUGCUCCCUGGAAUACCAUUUCUUCCCUCCAUAAAACACCAACCCACAUAUCCUCAUGAUCAUACCAGGGGUUACACUCUCUAGAAGUCUCUCCUGAUCCCAUCUUCUUCCAUUAUUAGCUAGUCUCAUGUUUGAUGCUCCUGUUGGAAUCUAACUAAAACUCAUGCCCGGAUGGACAGUCAUUUCAAUUCUCCACUGGGUACAGAAUUUUUUGGAGAAAGCCCCUCUGCAUCUGUACCAUUAACAAAAACAAAUACAUUAUCAUGUCCCAGAACUUUAUACUGUAGAACACAGUGAGUAUACUAUAUGCUGGAAUAUUUUCAAAGGAGGAGUUGCCAAUUGCCUGUCACAAUCAUAGAGAGUUCCUAGUCAUUUGCUGAAGAAACAUCUGAUUUGGCCAAAUUGAGCAAUAGAGCUUCUCAGUGAAACUGCCAAGGUCCUAAGUAACCACAUGAAUGAUUUGUUAGAUGGAAUUACUGAAUAUAAACUAAUUGAACCAGUGAAUAGCUGCCAAAAAUAAUGAUUUUUACCUUCAGAAUUAUUGGUCAUAACCUAUUCUUUCUAAUCAUUAGACAGCUGAACCAAUUAAUUGUCUAUUGCUGCUAUUAGUUCAUGAUAAUAAAAUUGUGUCAACAGCAUAUGGGGGGGAUAUUUUUCUUUCUCUCUGUAGGUGGAGAAUGUGCUUACAGAUCAUCCUACAGAGGUUUCAUUUCAUUUAAAUAUAAGUUUAAGCAAAGUUAAAUUAUGUCUUGAUCUUUAAGGAAGCUUUCUAUAGAUUCCAAGUCUCACACUGCUGCUAAAGAGAAGGUUUUAUGUAAGAAUUACCAGCUUGGGGACAUACAGCUUAAACUAUAAUUUCUCCUUGUCUGUAGAGUUAAAAGCCCAGGACAGUCAGCAGUCUUUUAUUCAUACCAAAAGACUUCUCAUGUGACCAACACUGUUUUGUACUUUUGUCUUGACAAAUGUCUUCAUAAGAUGAUUAGAGUUUAACAGGCUCUCCAGUGAGAGAGGGAAUGCUAAAACUCACUAGCUCUACUCAUGUUCUUUUAGCCUAAAAACUAGAAUUAAAUAGUCAUAAGGGUUAUAUGGAGUGUCUGACAACGAAUGUGACUGUGAUUCUGGAGAAGUAAAGAACUGCUUAUUUUUUCAAAUGAAGUAAAUUAUAUUUCUUACCCAGCCAGUUAGGAUCACACCUAGACUUGAUAAAAGAAAAAUAAGUUCUCAAGAAUUAGAAACCUUCCGUGAGAGGAAACCCAUCCACUUCUUAAAUAUGGGUUAUAAAGCAGAGAAAAAUAAGUCUGCAGGUGCUACGGAGAUCUGGAUUUCUACAUGCUUUAUCUGAUCCACGCCACAGAUGACUUAGUCCCCAAUUACAUCUAAAAGUUUAAUGUUGAAUUAAAUUGAUAAAUGUCAAAAAAGUUGUGUCCAAGAAUAUUUAAUUACAAAACUUCUUGUCAAAGAAUAUUUAAUGUAAAAACAAAAUGUUUAAGUGAAAAAACUUCAGAAAAGCAUAUGUAGUAUGAUUUUGAUUUUUGUAAAAUCAAAAUGCAGAAUUAUUCAGAAAGAUUUGUAUUUAUCUGUUUAUUUUGAACAGUUAAAAUGAGGGGAAAUGGUUCAAACCAUUUGACUGUGUUUCAAAAUCUAUCCUAAGGAGUACAGUAAGCAGCUACAGGCAAACAGUGCUGUAGACCACUAAGGAUGGGGACACGAACAAACAUUGCCCUCUGUCUUCUCCCAUGUGCAAUAUUCGUUUUUUUGGCUUUGACUACUUUUAAUGAGGAGUUUUCUACAUGAGUUGACACAGCUGAUCCUAAAAGAGUGGCACAGGGGAGACAGCCCCCCUCUGCCAUGCUGACGCUGGUAGAGCAUGGUACUUUGUGGAUCAUCAGGCUGCACAAAGCGGUUUUCAACUGUACUGUGAUUGUUCAUCUCUAUCCUGCACUGUACAGUUGUGCCUGUCAUUUCUAGAUGAGCAUAUAUAUCUGCAGAAGAACAGACUCCUACAUGGAAACCCCCAUGCAAAAAUGCGUGCCAUUCCCACCGAACGAAGGCAUUGGAAUUGGUUCAGGGAGGUGAACUAAUGCUUUUUCCUUGUUGCUGUUGCUGUCAAGGGGCAGGUACCAGGGCACGUGGAGGGACGGGUGGUCUCCCCUGAUGUCACUGCAUGUUUGUGCAUGGGCAUGUACAUCUGUGUGUGUUUGUGCUGGUGGGUACCUUCCUGUUGGGAAGAAAAUGCAGAUGAUUUGGCCUGUAGGAUUGAAUGAUUUGAGCCCUGAGGAUAGGCAUUGUUCACUAUGAUACCAUUGAAUAGGGAUAGAAGGCUGGCUUUCUGUUUCUUUCUGAUGGUGAGGGCAGAUGAUAGGCUCAUUUGAGCUUUUUUUUUGUUUUUUUUUGUUUUUUUUUUUUUUUAGGGCCGCACCCACAGCCUAUGGAAAUGCCUAGGCUAGGGGUCAAAUAGGAGCUACAGCUGCUGGCCUAUGCCAUAGCCACAGCAACAUAGGAUGGGAUCCUAGCCGCACCUGUGAACUAUACCACAGUUCACCACAACGCUGGAUCCUUAACCCACUGAGCAAGGCCAGGGAUCAAACCAGCAUCCUCAUGGUUCCUAGUUGGGUUCAUUAACCACUGAGCCACAAAGAGAACUCCUCACUCGAGCCUCUUUGUAUUUCCAGAAAUCAGGCAACCCAGGGAUCUGAGUCCUGAUAAUCCUGAGUAAGCAAAGGAGUGGGGCAGGGUCCAGAUUUUAUUGUGGGAAUCCCUUGCUAACAGGCCUUAAACAGGACAACUCUAGGGAUUUAGUCCAGUAUCCUUUUUAGAUAUGCAUGAGGAAAAAAAAUUGGGAAAUACACAUCCAGCUGGAAGAGAGUUCCUUUCUUUUGCUGAUUCAGGCAUGGUUGAAAGCCAUCUCUACAAUAUAGUACUUUCGGCACUUUAGGCUGCAACUCUAAAGCUCUGCCUCAUUUAAGUUAUUCAGAGAGGAACUGAUUUUUAUAAGAACAGAAAUUGUAUUCCUGAGGCCAAGCAUUCCUUUUUUUCCCUUGAAGAUUUCUUGAAAAUACUUGAGAAGGUUAAACAAUUAUUACAUGUCUGUACAGAGAAAGGCAUAACACUAUUUAGAGUAAAUAAGGGUGUCAUAUGAAAACACCAUGAUGCAUAUACAGUGGUUUCUGCAUGAAUCAAAUUGUAUGUUUUCAAAACAUAAUUGAUAUUCUUAGGUGGGAUGAUGGCUUGGUCCCAUCAGCAAACUGAACGUACUGGUGCCAGCCAUAAAGGAUAAUAAUUAAGUUGAAAGAGAGGACACCAGCAGAGGAGUACAAAUAAUCCAUAUUAAAAUACCAACACAAACUUGAGUUUGGGAAUUAUUUAUAAUCUUGAAAUUCAAAAGGAAUUGCCAGAGUGCACAUAUGAGCCCAUACAGAUGAUUUAUCUUGAUAUCUAAUGGAAACUUGACUCUUCAGUGGUUUAGGGAAACAGUAAUUCCUAGGUGGAAUUGUGUAUCUCUGUUAGGAAGAUUAUGAUAAUUUGCCUGGUCUUGGAAAUAGUAUGAAUAAAAAUAGCACAAGUCUUAAAUACUUUUUCUUAGUGAAAUAUAUAUUUUAAAAUAUAUAUUUUAAAAAUGUAACUAUUUUAGUAAUAAAAUGGAUACAAUUUACUGAUAGACUGUGUUGUAGAGAGUCUUUCUUUUUGAGUUAACAGUUCCUAUGGGAAGAAAUGUAAAAUUCUUUUAGCUAUUGAAAAGCACUGGAGUGUGAUGGCAAAGCUUAAAUAAUGUCCUGUUUUUAGUCUGGGGUGGGACUAAAAACAAUAUGUCUCUUGUGUACCACAGUAAGAACAAAUAUAUAUGCUUACAUGACAUUGGGCUGUCUUCCUCUAAAUGUUUUUGUUCUACUGUCAGUGAUGUGAAGAAAAAAAAAAAA